GGGGGGGGGGGGGGGGGGGGGGGGGGGGGGCGGGGGGGGGGGGGGGGGGCGGCGGGGGUGGGGUGCGCGAGGGGCGGACGGGUGGGUAACGCGUGAGUAACCUGCCCUUGAGUGUGGGGUAACGUCAGGGAACUGGGGCUGAUACCGGAUCGGAGCUCCUGCUGCAUGGGGGGGGGUGGACAGUUUCGGCGGUUGGGGAUGGACUCGCGGCUUAUCCGCUUGGUGGUGGGGUAGUGGCCUACCAAGGCUUUGACGGGUAGCCGGCCUGAGAGGGUGACCGGCCACAUUGGGACUGAGAUACGGCCCAGACUCCUACGGGAGGCAGCAGUGGGGAAUAUUGCACAAUGGGCGGAAGCCUGAUGCAGCAACGCCGCGUGCGGGAUGACGGCCUUCGGGUUGUAAACCGCUUUCGCCUGUGACGAAGCGUGAGUGACGGUAAUGGGUAAAGAAGCACCGGCUAACUACGUG
rnacentral:rRNA from 1 species